GACGAACGCUGGCGGCGCGCCUAACACAUGCAAGUCGAACGGAGCUGAGAGAAGCUUGCUUUUCUUAGCUUAGUGGCGAACGGGUGAGUAACGCGUGAGUAACCUGCCCUGGAGUGGGGGACAACAGUUGGAAACGACUGCUAAUACCGCAUAAGCCCACGAUCCGGCAUCGGAUUGAGGGAAAAGGAUUUAUUCGCUUCAGGAUGGACUCGCGUCCAAUUAGCUAGUUGGUGAGGUAACGGCCCACCAAGGCGACGAUUGGUAGCCGGACUGAGAGGUUGAACGGCCACAUUGGGACUGAGACACGGCCCAGAAUCCUACGGGAGGCAGCAGUGGGGGAUAUUGCACAAUGGGGGAAACACUGAUGCAGCGACGCCGCGUGGAGGAAGAAGGUUUUCGGAUUGUAAAAUCCUGUCGUUAGGGACGAUAAUGACGGUACCUGACAAGAAAGCACCGGCUAACUACGUG
rnacentral:rRNA from 1 species